GAGUAGAAGGCUACCUUUCUCAAGGUCUAAGGAAUGACAUGAUCUGGAAUAGAGUUGCCAACCUGACGGGGACACCAGGGGGAAACGUCGGCCUUGACCUUGUCAACAAGUUCCUCAACAACAAUUUCAAACAAAUGAUGAAGAGAUCCAAUGGCAAAUAGACAGACAAUGAAGCCAAAAGGUGUGCGGAGAUGGGAGGAGCGUUUGGGAAGGACCUCGACAAUAUCCUUACAAGUGUAGGAGUCGUCUCAUUUGGGGACACAUGGUCAAGACGAAGCAGUCUCAAAAAGAGACAGAGGGAGGAUGUCGGGCGAUUUGUAAAAGAAUAACGAUCUGACAGACUGUUCACCUGUGUCCCUGGGAGAUACCACCGUGGCCUGAACAACUUUAAGUACAACACCAACAUCAGAAACCCAAAGAAAAUGGGAAAGAAGAUGUGGCAGUUGGCCCAGGACAUGGAUAAGUGGGACACCUUCUGUGGUAUUCAACCUGUACAGGACUAGAAAAUGUACGCAGACUGGUUACUGUGCCUAUAAGGUUUCACUGCGAUGUGCGCCAUGUGUUAGUGUAAAAUGAAACAUGCAGGCUGGUCAGUAAAGGCAACCAAACAAA